GAUGAACGCUGGCGGCGUGCCUAAUACAUGCAAGUCGAGCGAACGGAUGAGAAGCUUGCUUCUCUGAUGUUAGCGGCGGACGGGUGAGUAACACGUGGAUAACCUACCUAUAAGACUGGGAUAACUUCGGGAAACCGGAGCUAAUACCGGAUAAUAUUUUGAACCGCAUGGUUCAAAAGUGAAAGACGGUCUUGCUGUCACUUAUAGAUGGAUCCGCGCUGCAUUAGCUAGUUGGUAAGGUAACGGCUUACCAAGGCAACGAUGCAUAGCCGACCUGAGAGGGUGAUCGGCCACACUGGAACUGAGACACGGUCCAGACUCCUACGGGAGGCAGCAGUAGGGUAUCUUCCGCAAUGGGCGAAAGCCUGACGGAGCAACGCCGCGUGAGUGAUGAAGGUCUUCGGAUCGUAAAACUCUGUUAUUAGGGAAGAACAUAUGUGUAAGUAACUGUGCACAUCUUGACGGUACCUAAUCAGAAAGCCACGGCUAACUACGUG
rnacentral:rRNA from 1 species